AUGUCAACAUGUGACGCAGGAGAGUCGGAGCUCGUCGGUGGAGGCGGAGAGACGUCAGCGACGCCUCCGGACAGCAGCGCGCGGCGAGCAGCGCGAGCGCCGCGGACGACGCCUGCCAGAGAACAGCAGUAUGAAAACAUUGGUGAGAGGUUCAAGCAGGAAAAUCAUGAUGAUGAAACCCCGACUGGAAAACUGUGUCAGCCAUCAGCCAUCGGACAGGAAGAAACACACCAAGCACUUGUAUUAAGUUCAGACAGACUAGGAAAGAAAGAAGCUGCGCACCAGAAGCCCAACAGAUCCAGAAUCACCUCCUGCCUCUUCUUCAGACUCUCCAGAAAUCUGGGCCUUGAUGAGCCCAAUUUAACACUCCAAAAUUUCGACCCCUGCUUGCACAGUUCAACUGAAACACAGCAGGUUGAGACUGAGGAUAGCAGCUUCCAGGUAAGAAUUCCCCAAUCAAUACCUACGGUACCUGCUACACAAAGUGAAAAGCCAUCGGCUUUUGAAGAAGAAAAAUGACACAAAGCAAUUAUCCGUGUUAACAUCACAACAUAAUUUAAUACAAAUGCUCAAAAACAUCAGAACGAUUAUCGUUAUUUUAGCGUAAGAAGGGACAGGGUGUGUGUUCUUUUGUGUGUUAAUCCUUUUAAAUCUCCUGUCUUAUAGAGUAACCUGUUUGUCAAGGCCCUAAGCUCUUAAAUAGCCACACCAUGGGAACAUGAGCUUCAGCAAAGCUCACGUCUCUGCCAUCGCACAGUUUACACUUCAAACAGCAGGCCACUGUCGCAUACUUACUGUAAAUUCCAGAAAGUGUUUUAGCAUGUAAGUAAGUUGCAUUUCCUAUAAGAAUUACUUUAACGAUGGCGCUAUAGAUGAUGUGUGGCAGCAAUACAAACAUCUAGUGAAAGAUUGUGUGUGGUCAUAUAAAUUGCUCCCCAAAAUGUAUUCUAAAACAUUGAAAUGCAGA
ensembl:lncRNA